rfam:Chroococcales cyanobacterium CENA595 contig_472, whole genome shotgun sequence.
AUUCCAAUUAAUACAAAUCCUUAUUAGGGAUUGAAAC